rnacentral:rRNA from 1 species
ACGGGAGGCAGCAGUGGGGAAUAUUGCACAAUGGGCGCAAGCCUGAUGCAGCGUUGCCGCGUGAGGGAAGAAGGUUUUCGGAUUGUAAACCUCUGUCAUCGGGGACGAUAAUGACUGUACCCGAGAAGGAAGCUCCGGUUAACUACGUGCCAGCAGCCGCGGUAAUACGUAGGGAGCGAGCGUUAUCCGGAAUUACUGGGUGUAAAGGGAGUGUAGGCGGGACUGUAAGUCAGAUGUGAAAUAUGCCGGCUCAACUGGCAGACUGCAUUUGAAACUGCGGUUCGUGAGUGAAGUAGAGGUAAGCGGAGUUCCUUGUGUAGCGGUGAAAUGCGUAGAUAUUAGGAGGGACAUCAGUGGCGGAGGCGGCUUACUGGGCUUUAACUGACGCUGAGGCUCGAAAGCGUGGGGAGCAAACAGAAUUAGAUACCCAGGUA